AGCUCCAAUAGCGUAUAUUAAAGUUGUUGCAGUUAAAAAGCUCGUAGUUGGAUUUCUGGCAGGAGCGACCGGUCACACACUCUGUGUGUGAACUUGCGUUGUCUCUGGCCAUCCUUGGGGAGAUCCUGUUUGGCAUUAAGUUGUCGGGCAGGGGAUACCCAUCGUUUACUGUGAAAAAAUUAGAGUGUUUAAAGCAGGCUUAUGCCGUUGAAUAUAUUAGCAUGGAAUAAUAAGAUAGGACUUCGGAACUAUUUUGUUGGUUUGCGUUACGAAGUAAUGAUUAAUAGGGACAGUUGGGGGUAUUCGUAUUUCGUUGUCAGAGGUGAAAUUCUUGGAUUUCCGAAAGACGAACUACUGCGAAAGCAUUUACCAAGGAUGUUUUCAUUA
rnacentral:rRNA from 1 species